rnacentral:tRNA from 1 species
UAGCCUAGUGAUGAAGGCUAUGGAUCGCCAAUCCGGAGACGGCGGGUUCGAUUCCCGU